UACGGAGGAUCCGAGCGUUAAUCGGAAUUAUUGGGCGUAAAGAGCUCGUAGGCGGUCUGUCGCGUCUGCUGUGAAAACCCGAGGCUCAACCUCGGGCCUGCAGUGGGUACGGGCAGACUAGAGUGCGGUAGGGGAGAAUGGAAUUCCUGGUGUAGCGGUGGAAUGCGCAGAUAUCAGGAGGAACACCGAUGGCGAAGGCAGUACUCUGGGCCGUAACUGACGCUGAGGAGCGAAAGCGUGGGGAGCAAACAGG
rnacentral:rRNA from 1 species